UGAAUACGAGAUGCUAAGGCGUCGAAGUAGUGUAUGUCAUACUUCCAAGAAAAGCUUGCACUGUCAUAAGUAAAAAAUGCCUGUACCAUAACCGACACAGGUGGGUAAGUAGAGUAUACUAAGGGGCGCGAGAUAACUCUCUCUAAGGAACUCGGCAAAAUAACUCCGUAACUUCGGGAGAAGGAGUGCCUUAUUCUUAAGGUUGCAAUAACAAGAUCCAAGCAACUGUUUAUCAAAAACACAGGUCUCCGCUAAGUCGUAAGACGAUGUAUGGGGGCUGACGCCUGCCCAGUGCCAGAAGGUUAAAGAAGUUGGUUAGCAAUUGCGAAGCUGGUAACUGAAGCCCUGGUGAACGGCGGCCGUAACUAUAACGGUCCUAAGGUAGCGAAAUUCCUUGUCGGGUAAGUUCCGACCCGCACGAAAGGCGUAAUGAUUUGGAUGCUGUCUCGGAGAGGGGCUCGGUGAAAUAGACUUGUCUGUGAAGAUGCGGACUACCUGCACCAGGACAGAAAGACCCUAUGAAGCUUUACUGUAACUUGAAAUUGAAAUUGGACUUUAUUUGCGCAGUAUAGGUGGGAGGCGUUGAUUAUAAUCUUGCGGGAUUAUUGGAGCCAUCAGUGAGAUACCACUCUUGUAAUGUUAGAUUUCUAACUUUGAAUCAUUAUCUGGUCAAAGGACAAUUUCAGGCGGGCAGUUUGACUGGGGCGGUCGCCUCCUAAAUGGUAACGGAGGCGUACAAAGGUUUCCUCUGAACGGUUAGAAAUCGUAUCUAGAGUGUAAAGGCAUAAGGAAGCUUGACUGUGAGACCUACAAGUCGAGCAGGGACGAAAGUCGGUCUUAGUGAUCUGACGGUACUGAGUGGAAAGGCCGUCACUCAACGGAUAAAAGUUACUCUAAGGAUAACAGGCUGAUCUCCCCCAAGAGUUCACAUCGACGGGGAGGUUUGGCACCUCGAUGUCGGCUCAUCGCAUCCUGGGGCGGUAGUACGUCCCAAGGGUUGGGCUGUUCGCCCAUGAAAGCGGUACGCGAGCUGGGUUCAGAACGUCGUGAGACAGUUCGGUCCAUAUCCGGUGUAGGCGUUAGAAUAUUGAGAGGAGCCUUCUUUAGUACGAGAGGACCGAGAAGGAUAUACCUCUGGUGUACCAGUUAUCGUGCCAACGGUAAACGCUGGGUAGCUAUGUAUGGAGUGGAUAACCGCUGAAAGCAUCUAAGUGGGAAGCCCACCUCGAGAUAAG
rnacentral:rRNA from 1 species